GAUGAAACAUGGCUCUUAAAUUCUUAGUUGUAAUAAUAAUUAUCCGAAUUUUUGUGUAGUAUUCUAGGAGUUGAAUAAUAAUUAUAGUACCAUGUGGGUUGACUUUAUGUGAGGCAUGGUUUAUGGGAUAAAGAACUGUCUGGUAUAUAAAAGAUGCGCACACGGUCCAAAGUAAUGCAAUGUUAAGAUGAAUUGUUUUUUUCUCCGAAAAUGUAUUUUAGUGGAUCCGGAUUUAUCACUAUAUUCUGAAAUCAAUGUUGUGUAGUCUGAGCAUGGGCCGAUAUUUAUUAUACACUACUUGCCAAGAAUUACGUAUCAUCAACUUGGGAAUCCACUGUAUGUACCGUAUGAUAACUUGUUAA
rnacentral:lncRNA from 1 species